AAAAUCAUGGUUUUGGGCUUUUGAAAACAAUGCUUGUGACUUAAUUACAUAUCGAUAUUGUUAUGACAAAAGCAAUUUUAAUCAAUUGCUCCAUACCCAUUUAUUGUAUACCGCGGCAAAUCAGACAAAAGUUACACUGACAAAUGACAUAGAAUCAGAUCAACCAAAUUUUAGUUAAGUUGAAACACACACAAAAGUUAGUUUUGUUUCCCUCUCCUGUAAAAUUCCUUUUUUGUCAUAAUAUACGUUUUCCUGUCAUAAGACGGCAGAAAUGAGCUCAUUCCUCCCACCCUACUGUUCCCCCAGUCCCGGCGUACAACCAGCUGUGUGCUGACCACUGUGCCUCCAACUACCAAUGUCUGGAAUCCGCGGGCGAGUUCCGCUGUAUUUGUAAGAAGGGAAACGUCUACGACACGAACAAAUACGCCUGUGUACCACUGCCUGGGUUCCGUGAGAAAUGCACCGCUGUGUGUAGCGCCAACCUCCAGUGUGUGAAAGCCCAAGGCGGCAAAAAGUGCCUCUGUCCACUCGGAUUUGUCUACAACAAAAAGACCAAGCACUGUACUCUAGACAAAAUGUGUGGCAGGCCUGUGGACCUCUUCUUCCUCAUCGACGCCUCCGACCAUGUGGGCGACGCGAACUUUGCCAAGGAGUUGGACUUCGUUACCUCUGUAGCACAGGGUUUUGACGUGGACAAGGGUACUGCCAAGAUUGCCGCCAUGACUUACGGCUCUCAAGACAAGAAAUUGUUCUGCUUCAACACUCACUCGACCAAGGGAAAAGUCA